GGGAGCGCCCGGACCUGGUUUCCUUGGCCUGGUGGCGGAAGUGAAGACGUUGGCACAACCCGACAGGGUGUAUUGGUUCUCCAGUACCCAUGACUAGCCUUUGUUUUUAAGGAUUCUCCCUACAACAAUAACAAAGUGAUGAAUGUGGUGCCCAGUUGGCUCGCUCUCGAAUUCAUUGCCGAACGAAGCCACGAACCCACUUGGCAGUUCAAGGGGCCUUCCUCCCUUCACUGGGACAGUCCCGGCGUCAGGGGCAUGUGAAGAUGGAGGCAGAGAUGGGAGUGAUGCAGCCACAAGCCAAGGAACCCCUGGAGUCACCAGAAGCUGGAAGAAGUGAGAAACAAUUCUCCGGUGGAGCAAGAACAGCCCCUGCUGACACUUUUGCCCUCCCUUGCUGCCAGAGGAUAAAUUUGCAUUAAGUCACCCAGUUUGUGGUAAUUUUGUUAUAGCAUCCCUAGGAAACUAAUGUGAACACAAACAGUCUUUCUGUGUAGUUUAUCCAAUAUGCAUUUCCCCAAAUUUUCCAUAUU